rnacentral:rRNA from 1 species
UACGGAGGGUGCAAGCGUUAAUCGGAAUUACUGGGCGUAAAGCGUGCGUAGGCGGUUCGUUAAGUCUGUUGUGAAAGCCCCGGGCUCAACCUGGGAAUGGCAAUGGAUACUGGCGAGCUAGAGUGUGUCAGAGGAUGGUGGAAUUCCCGGUGUAGCGGUGAAAUGCGUAGAUAUCUGGAGGAACACCGGUGGCGAAGGCGGCGUUCUGGACUGUUACUGACACUGAGGAACGAAAGCCAGGGGAGCAAACGGG